rnacentral:rRNA from 1 species
CACGUAGGGCGCAAGCGUUGUCCGGAAUUAUUGGGCGUAAAGAGCUUGUAGGCGGUCUGUCGCGUCUGCUGUGAAAAUCCGGGGCUCAACCCCGGACUUGCAGUGGGUACGGGCAGACUAGAGUGUGGUAGGGGAGACUGGAAUUCCUGGUGUAGCGGUGAAAUGCGCAGAUAUCAGGAGGAACACCGGUGGCGAAGGCGGGUCUCUGGGCCGAUACUGACGCUGAGGAGCGAAAGCGUGGGGAGCGAACAGG